GCUUUUGCAAGUAAAUAAAUCAUCAAAGCACAAUUUAUUCUUCAUCUUCUACUUAAGAAAUCUUUGUAUCUGUUUCAAUAAUAUCAUCCAUUCAAAUCAUCAAUAGAAGCAUUCAACAUAAUCAAGAUCAAACAGUGUCUCAACCAUAUGGAUUUUCUAAGCUCAAACACAUCCAGUUAAUCAAACAUACAACAAAUGAGCCAUGGCAACAUGACAUAAACUCUCACUUCCUUAGCAUGUCUUAUAGGCUUGUCCAAGCAAACAUUCUUGACAUUGACAUCCUACAACAUCUUCUUUAAGCUGGUGUAUUACUCUGGAAUUAUUGUUGCUACAUCAAUCUCAUCUCCAGCUACCAC
rnacentral:lncRNA from 1 species